rnacentral:rRNA from 1 species
AGGAUGAACGCUGGCGGCGUGCUUAAUACAUGCAAGUCGAGCGGUAAGGCCCCUUCGGGGGUACACGAGCGGCGGACGGCUGAGUAACGCGUGGGAACGUACCCCAAAGUGAGGGAUAAGCACCAGAAAUGGUGUCUAAUACCGCAUGUGCUCUAAGGAGUAAAGCUCCGGCGCUUUGGGAACGGCCUGCGUUCGAUUAGCUUGUUGGUGAGGUAAUGGCUCACCAAGGCGACGAUCGAUAGCUGGUCUGAGAGGAUGACCAGCCAGACUGGGACUGAGAACGGCCCAGACUCCUACGGGAGGCAGCAGUAGGGAAUUUUCCACAAUGGACGAAAAGUCUGAUGGAGCAACGCCGCGUGCAGGAUGAAGGCCUUAGGGUUGUAAACUGCUUUUAUGUAUGAAGAUUAUGACGGUAGUACAUGAAUAAGGAUCGGCUAACUCCGUGCCAGCAGCCAC